CUACGGGUCGCUGCAGUGGGGAAUAUUGCACAAUGGGGGAAACCCUGAUGCGGCAACGCCGCGUGGAGGAUGACACAUUUCGGUGUGUAAACUCCUUUUAUAUGUCAAGAAAAUGACGGUAGCAUAUGAAUAAGCACCGGCUAACUCCGUGCCAGCAGCCGCGGUAAUACGGAGGGUGCAAGCGUUACUCGGAAUCACUGGGCGUAAAGGACGCGUAGGCGGGUUGGAAAGUCAGGUGUGAAAUCCUACAGCUUAACUGUAGAACUGCACUUGAAACUUCUAAUCUAGAGUAUGGGAGGGGGAGAUGGAAUUAGUGGUGUAGGGGUAAAAUCCGUAGAUAUCACUAGGAAUACCUAAAGCGAAGGCGAUCUCCUGGAACAUUACUGACGCUAAGGCGUGAAAGCGUGGGGAGCAAACAGGAUUAGAUACCCUAGUAGUC
rnacentral:rRNA from 1 species